AUUGAACGCUGGCGGCAUGCCUUACACAUGCAAGUCGAACGGUAACAGGUCUUCGGAUGCUGACGAGUGGCGAACGGGUGAGUAAUACAUCGGAACGUGCCCGAUCGUGGGGGAUAACGAAGCGAAAGCUUUGCUAAUACCGCAUAAGAUCUACGGAUGAAAGCAGGGGACCGCAAGGCCUUGCGCGAACGGAGCGGCCGAUGGCAGAUUAGGUAGUUGGUGGGAUAAAAGCUUACCAAGCCGGCGAUCUGUAGCUGGUCUGAGAGGACGACCAGCCACGCUGGGACUGAGACACGGCCCAGACUCCUACGGGAGGCAGCAGUGGGGAAUUUUGGACAAUGGGCGAAAGCCUGAUCCAGCCAUGCCGCGUGCAGGAUGAAGGCCUUCGGGUUGUAAACUGCUUUUGUACGGAACGAAAAGACUCUUUCUAAUAAAGAGGGUCCAUGACGGUACCGUAAGAAUAAGCACCGGCUAACUACGUGCCAGCAGCCGCCGCCGUAA
rnacentral:rRNA from 1 species